rnacentral:rRNA from 1 species
CAAGUGGAGAGUUUGAUCCUGGCUCAGAACGAACGCUGGCGGCGUGCUUAACACAUGCAAGUCGAGCGCGAAAGGGGGCAACCCCGAGUAGAGCGGCGCACGGGUGAGUAACGCGUGGGUAACCUACCCCYVGGCGGGGGAUAACUACUCGAAAGGGUGGCUAAUACCGCAUGAGACCACGGGGUCUUCGGAUCCUGAGGCCAAAGGCGGCACCGGCUUGCCGGUGCUGUCACCUGGGGAUGGGCCCGCGUACGAUUAGCU